UUGAACGCUGGCGGCCUGCUUUACACAUGCAGGUCGAACGGCAGCGCGGGCUUCGGCCUGGCGGCGAGUGGCGAACGGGUGAGUAAUGCAUCGGAACGUGCCCAGUAGUGGGGGAUAGCCCGGCGAAAGCCGGAUUAAUACCGCAUACGACCUGAGGGUGAAAGCGGGGGACCGAAAGGCCUCGCGCUAUUGGAGCGGCCGAUGUCGGAUUAGCUAGUUGGUGGGGUAAAGGCUUACCAAGGCGACGAUCCGUAGCUGGUCUGAGAGGACGACCAGCCACACUGGGACUGAGACACGGCCCAGACUCCUACGGGAGGCAGCAGUGGGGAAUUUUGGACAAUGGGGGCAACCCUGAUCCAGCCAUGCCGCGUGCGGGAAGAAGGCCUUCGGGUUGUAAACCGCUUUUGUUCGGGAAGAAAUCCUCUGGGCUAAUACCCCGGGGGGAUGACGGUACCGGAAGAAUAAGCACCGGCUAACUACGUG
rnacentral:rRNA from 1 species